rnacentral:rRNA from 1 species
UACGUAGGGUGCGAGCGUUGUCCGGAAUUAUUGGGCGUAAAGGGCUCGUAGGCGGUCUGUCGCGUCGGAGUGAAAACUCAGGGCUUAACCCUGAGCCUGCUUCCGAUACGGGCAGACUAGAGGUAUGCAGGGGAGAACGGAAUUCCUGGUGUAGCGGUGAAAUGCGCAGAUAUCAGGAGGAACACCGGUGGCGAAGGCGGUUCUCUGGGCAUUACCUGACGCUGAGGAGCGAAAGUGUGGGAGCGAACAGG